rnacentral:rRNA from 1 species
UACGUAGGUGGCAAGCGUUGUCCGGAAUUAUUGGGCGUAAAGCGCGCGCAGGCGGUCCUUUAAGUCUGAUGUGAAAGCCCACGGCUCAACCGUGGAGGGUCAUUGGAAACUGGGGGACUUGAGUGCAGAAGAGGAAAGCGGAAUUCCACGUGUAGCGGUGAAAUGCGUAGAGAUUUGGAGGAACACCAGUGGCGAAGGCGACUUUCUGGUCUGUAACUGACACUGAGGCGCGAAAGCGUGGGGAGCAAACAGG